rnacentral:rRNA from 1 species
AUACGGAAGGUCCGGGCGUUAUCCGGAUUUAUUGGGUUUAAAGGGAGCGCAGACGGCCUGUUAAGCGUGCAGUGAAAUGUGGGUGCUCAACAUCUGCACUGCUGCGUGAACUGGCGGGCUUGAGUUGUCUGGAGGUGCGCGGAAUUCGUGGUGUAGCGGUGAAAUGCUUAGAUAUCACGAGGAACCCCGAUUGCGAAGGCAGCGCACCGUUGGCACUCUGACGUUGAGGCUCGAAGGUGCGGGUAUCGAACAGGAUUAGAUACCCUGGUAGUCCGCACGGUAAACGAUGGAUGCCCGCUGUCGGCGAUACACUGCCGGCGGCCAAGCGAAAGCGUUAAGCAUCCCACCUGGGGAGUACGCCGGCAACGGUGAAACUUAAAGGAAUUGACGGGG